CGUUGUUCGGAAUUACUGGGCGUAAAGCGUGUGUAGGCGGCCUUGCAAGUCGGAUGUGAAAGCCCCGGGCUCAACCCGGGAAGUGCACUCGAUACUGCAGGGCUUGAGUAUCGGAGAGGUUGGUGGAAUUCUCGGUGUAGAGGUGAAAUUCGUAGAUAUCGAGAGGAACACCGGCGGCGAAGGCGGCCAACUGGACGAUUACUGACGCUGAGACACGAAAGCGUGGGGAGCAAACAGG
rnacentral:rRNA from 1 species